GAUUUCUGAACAUCAGUUUCUGGUCGGCCACGGUUUCGUGUGUUAGUGCUUGAAACUUUGUUCAUCCUUUCAAGUAUUCUCAUUGGAUCUUCAUUGAUUCAGUGAGGAUGUUGAAUCUUUUACUUUGAAAAAAUUAGAGUGUUUCAAGCAGGCUUUAUGCUAUGAAUACAUUAGCAUGGAAUAAUAAUUUAGGACUUCGGUUCUAUUUUGUUGGUUUCUAGGACUGAAGUAAUGAUUGAUAGGGAUAGUUGGGGGUGCUAGUAUUCAGCGGCCAGAGGUGAAAUUCUCGGAUUCGCUGAAGACUAACUUAUGCGAAAGCAUU
rnacentral:rRNA from 1 species